UGGCGCUCGGAAAAACUGACCCAAGGAUGCUCAACAUGGCUGUUAUUAGUGUCAUGCUCACAGCCAUCGUGUCUUCAACGUUGCCAUCAUGCCAAGGAGACGAUAAACCAUGGGCAUGCGGAAAAUAUGUAGGAAACUGCACCGAGGAGUGGUGCAACCAGGAAUGCAAAAACAAUGGCUUUAUGGUUGAUUAUAGAUCGACAUGCGUAACCUUUGAAGGUCAUCAUAAGUGUUGCUGUCAAUAUCAGACAUAUCAAAUAUGGACAUGCAUAAUUGUAACAAACUGCAACACCAUGGCUUGCUGGCGUGACUGCAGCGAACGAAGAGGCUUUUUUGAACCUUUUCUAGUGCAAUGCUCUACAAUUGGAGA